rnacentral:rRNA from 1 species
AACGAACGCUGGCGGCGCGCCUAACACAUGCAAGUCGAACGAGAAUCCGGGGCAACCCGGUAGUAAAGUGGCAAACGGGUGAGGAAUACAUGGGUAACCUACCCUUGAGAAGGGAAUAACCCGCCGAAAGGUGAGCUAAUACCCUAUACGCUAUCUUUUUUUCGAAAAGGAUAGGAAAGCCGGGUCGAGGACCUGGUACUCAAGGAGGGGCUCAUGUCCUAUCAGCUUGUUGGUGGGGUAACGCCUACCAAGGCUACGACGGGUAGGCUGGUCUGAGAGGAUGAUCAGCCACAUGGCACUGAGAUACGGG